UGGCUGAGCGGUAAAGCGUUUGGCUACGAACCGGGUGUCCCGGGUUCGAAUCCUGG
rnacentral:tRNA from 1 species